ensembl:lncRNA
AAAAAAAAACAUUCUUCCCCAAAUUCUCAUUGAUUAAAGGACACAAGGUUUGCUCUAUUUGGAUAUUUAAGGAGGGUUGGCAAGGAACUCUGGGAAUCUGUAGAAAGAUCUCUCACACAGUUGCUAUGUGUAGUUUUCUCUAACAGGUAUGCAAGGAUUGGAUUGGAUUCUCUUAUGUUGUAUUAUUAUGUUUGAAUUUGAAUGGCAAUGUUGAAUCUGACUCUUUCUUCUUAUUCUUAUUGGAUUUGAUAUGUUCCUGGUUCCUGUACCUGGUUAAAAAAAAGUAUUAGACUUGAUUAUAUUCUGACUUAUUCUGAAAUUGUUGUCUCUAGUAGAUUACGUUAAGUCCAUGUUUCCACAAAUCUACGAUCAGGUUAGUAGUGGACUAAAGCUCAGUUCCAAGUGGAGCAUGAGGCACACUGGCUGAGAUUUUAGAGCUCCGACUAACAAAUUGGCACAAGUUCAAAUGUACUUAGAGUGUACAGGCUCAAUACGGAAUUUCAGUUUAGGACAACAUGAAGUUGAUUGACCAACCUAAAUAGUAUGAAGUCUAAACCUCUGGUUCCUGUAAUAUUUUUCUAGUUAAGUGUAUAUAAGUAACGAUGGCAUGAUUAUAUAAAGCUAAGUUUAAUUUAGGUAAUGUUGGUCUAUCUGUCAAUUUUAGCAUGUCAUGAUCUCCGACUAGAAAUAAUGGUACUAUACAUAAGUGUCAGCUAUCUAAGGGAACUAAACAAAAUACUUUUAGAUAAAAGGGCAAGCAUGAGUGGCCAUCUAUAUAUAUAUUAGUUCAGUUACCUCUGUCUAGAGGCCAAGAGUUUUGCGAUCGCAAGAUCCGCACACGGCCAGCACAAGACUCUCUAAAUGACAGGAAUCUGAAUGAACGAGCACGAUCUAAAAGUAUGGAAUAAACUCAAAUUAAUCAAAUGUGAGAGUUUAAAAGUAUUUACAAACUCGUGAUCUACAAAUAACUAAGAAAUAAAUACGACAUUGAGAAUCAAAGAGAAAUGGAAUUUGAAAAGACUGAAACACUCAGGAAUCCUUCUACUACGUCAAUGGACCAGUGAGUGGAACGUACAAAGUGUAUUGUUCUAUUUUGUAUAAUUAUAUUUUAAACCUUCAGGCUCAGUUGAGGUUAAUUUGCAUAGAGUACUGAUGUGUGUAUAAAAGAUAAACACUAUCUGUUGUUACCCAGAUGCAGAUGAGUUCCCUUCUGAGUCGGGUUCCUCUCAAGGUUUCUUCCUCUUAAAACAUCUUAGGGAGUUUUUCCUUGCCACCGUCGCCACUCAGUGGCUUGCUCAGUUGGGAUAAAUUCACACCUUUAAUAUCUGUAUACCGUGUUGAUAUUUCUGUAAAGCUGCUUUCAGACAAUGUCUAUUGUAAAAAGCAUUAUAUAAAUAAAAUUGAAUAAAAGAGAUUUUUAAACAUUUCAUUUUUUUUUUUUUUUUUUUUUACAUAAUCUAUAAUCUCACUCCUACCUGCUGCCAUAUAUACUAUUUUUGUUGGCAGCUACCCUUAAUAAUUUCUACUGAACAAACAUUAUAUGGCCAAAAGUACGUGGACACCUGACUAUCACACUCAACUAGCACAUAUGUGCUAGAUGAAUGUCCCGUUCCAGAUUUAGUCCCCCUUUGCUGUUAUAAUAAGGUCUGCUCUUCUUGGAAGGCUUCCCACUAGAUUUUGAGCGUGGUUGUGGGGAUUUGCGUUCAUUCAGCUACAAGAGCAUUAGUGAGGCAAGGCACUGAUGUUGGGUGAGGAGGCCUGGGGUGUAGUCGGUGUUCUGGUUCAUCCUGGAGGUGUUCAGUGGGAUUGAGAUCUUUAUGAGUUAAUGAGUUGAUUAUAAAUUCAGUGGGGGCACUGGAGGCUUGACGGUUACGGCUCUGGGUUACUGAACGGAAGGUAGGGGCUUCAAGUCCCAGCACUGCCAAGCUACCACUGUUGGGCCCUUGAACAAGGCCUUUAUCAUGGCUGACUCUGUGCUCUGACCCCAACCUCCUAACAUGCUGGGAUAUGUGAAGAAAAACGAAUUUCACUGUGCUGUAAUGUAUAUGUGACCAAUGAAGACUCAUUAUUCAUGAAACAUGUGGAAACAGGAGUGGUGCCUAAAUUGAAAAUGUGCAGCCAAACGACCCACCAAUGUCUAAUAUAAUCCUUGUUCCUGACUCUGUUAGUCCUUUCAGUCCUUCCUCCUGUUUUAUGUUACUUUAACAGUAUAACAUUGUUGAUUAGUUAGUUAGCUAGCUAGUUGAUUUACUGUAACAUCCAAUUUUUAAAGCAUUCUGUUGUACUGGAGGCUCACUAGCCAGGUGAAUUGUCACAACUGACCAUGCAAGCUAAAUCAAGUCAUUUUCAUACCAAAUCCUAUUUCAUGUGAACAGAUUAAAGAUACAAUUUAUCCACUUUGGGAAAAAAAACCCGACAUGAACUACAUAUUUAAAAAAAAAAGGUAGGUCCAAUGGCAUUAUUAUUAAUAAUAAUAAUAAUAAUAAUAAUAAUUUGAUUUCCCUGCUAGUUUUUCCCUAUGCUGAGACAUGUUGAACAUUUACUGGGCUCUACUGUCACCUAUUGGCACAUGAGUUAUUGCUAGUUAUGUGUACUAUAGUAUAUGGAGUUAUUAUAUAACUUAAAAGUUUUUUAUUAUCUCUAAAAACAGUCUGAAAAUCUCAGAGGACUUGGUAACAUCCCAAAAUAUUCACUUCCAAAACAGCUGCUUAUUUAGUAAUUUAGAUAAUUACAUACUGUACAUGACACAGAAUCUUGUGAAAAACAAAGCUAAACAAAACAACAACAAAAACAUCCAGAUAUCAGCAUUCUGGUUGAAUAGUUGCCUGAUGAUCCUGUGCCUGCUGUAAUCUCGGAUUCCUGUUUUUGGGAGUAAACCUGAUGUGGUCUUCUGCUAUUGUGGCCCAUCUGCCUCAAGAUUUGAUGUGUUAUGCAUUCUAAGAUGCUUUACUGCUCACUGCAGUUUUAAAGAGCGAUUAUUUGAGGUACCUUAACCUUCAUGUCAUCUCAAACCUUCUGUCUCCUCUGACCACUCUCAUCAACAAGGCAUUUCCCCCUGCAGAACGGCACCAUUCUGUGUAAACCCUAGAGCAGUGGUCACCAACACUCUUCAUGGAGAUCUCCUUUCCUGUAGCUUUCAUCUCCAGCCAAAAUCUAACUCACCUGUUUUAGCUGAUCAAGAACUUCUUAAGGCAGAGAUUAGAUUAUCAGGUGGGCACCCUUAUGGUUGGAGCUAAAGUCUUCAGGAAGGUGGAUCUCCAGGAACAAAGUUGGUAACCACUGUUCUUCAGUAGAGGCUGUUGUUGCCCACAAACCUCAAGUUUCGACGUGAUGUGUGUUCUGAGAUGCUUUUCUCCCCACCACGUUUGUAAAUAGUGACUAUUUGAGUAACCUUAGGGCAGGGCGGCGGGACAGCUUCUUUGACGUGCAGGAGCUACACAGCAGAGACCUCCCCGUAGGCCUCAAGCUGUAGCUCUGAGGUUGCCAUGUUGACCUCAGGCGGGAGCUCCACAGCUGAGGCCUCCCCAUAGGCCUCACGCUGGAGCUCUGCUGUCGUCAUUGACCCCCACCCAAAAUAAGUUCUAGGCUAGCCUUCGGUUCUGGGCUGGGCAGCGUGGUGCAAUUCCCCUGCAGUGGGAGGCUCCAGGAGGACGGGUAUCUUUACUGGCUGCAUGGCGUAGUAUAAUUCCCCUAAAGUGGGAAGCUCCAGGAGUUCGAGUAGCUCUGUUACCCACGCGGCACGGCAUAACUCUCCGGCAGCCGGGACGUGGGAAAUUGCGCGGGUGGCGAUAUGGCGCAUGGGCCGGCUUGCUGCAGCAGCCCUCGUUGCAUUAGCUGGCGAUCGAUCUGGGCAAGUCUUUUGUCGAUACGCUUACUCUCUUCCCAGAACGAUCGGCCCAACUUCUCGAACUCGGUGCUCACGUUGAUCUGCUGCUUCCAUGCUCGGGGCGCAGUAUUAUGUCACGGAACGGGACUGGAAGCGGAUGCAGAACCCCAACCAUGACAGCCCGGGAAAAUACAAUCGCGUCAAGAGAAAAAGAGGUCCAAGAAGAAAAAAGGGAACAAGCCAGCCCUGAGAUACCCAGAAAUAUGGAGGAAGACGGAUUACAAAAUCUUCUGUUAAUAAAGCUAUUCCUGACACCACGCUUCUCCAGCGAGACCUGCAGGCUUUACAACUCGACACGCUGGAUGUGAAGAGAACUGAAGAACUAAUAUUGGAAAGUAAUCAUUAAUGAAAAAAUGUGAUAGUAUAAGGAGUGUCUUGAAUAGAAAGGGGGCUGAAGCUGCAAGGUUAAAAAACCGAGCUAAAAUUGGACGUGCAGAGAGCAUUAGGCAACUGAAUCAGAGAUAUGGGCAAAAAUACACUGAGAAAAUGAAAAAAGAGGCGCAUGUCUGUCUUGAACGGCCCAGGCCCUCUGCUUUUACCACACAGGUGGAUACAUUGGAAAGAUUGAUAAGAA